rnacentral:SRP_RNA from 1 species
GCCGGGCGAGGUGGCUCAUGCCUGUAAUCCCAGCACUUGGGGAGGCCGAGAUGGGAGGAUUGCUUGAGGCCAGGAGUUCGAGACCAGCCUGGGCAACACAGCAAGAUCCCAUCUCUA